CGGGGUGUAGCUCAGCUUGGAUAGAGCGCUAGCAUGGGGCGUUAGAGGCCCCCGGUUCAAAUCCGGGCACUCCGACCA
rnacentral:tRNA from 1 species